AGAAUGAACGCUGGCGGCGCGCCUAAUACAUGCAAGUCGAGCGAGAAGACGUAGCAAUACGUUUGUAAAGCGGCGAACGGGUGAGGAAUACAUGGGUAACCUACCCUCGAGUGGGGAAUAACUAGCCGAAAGGUUAGCUAAUACCGCGUACGCUUCUUGGACUUCGGUUCAGGGAGGAAAGCGAUGCCAAGGGUAUCGCGCUCUUGGAUGGGCUCAUGUCCUAUCAGCUUGUUGGUGAGGUAACGGCUCACCAAGGCUUCGACGGGUAGCUGGUCUGAGAGGACGAUCAGCCACACUGGCACUGCGACACGGGCCAGACUCCUACGGGAGGCAGCAGUAAGGAAUAUUGCGCAAUGGGCGAAAGCCUGACGCAGCGACGCCGCGUGGGGGAUGAAGGUCUUCGGAUUGUAAAGUCCCGUUU
rnacentral:rRNA from 1 species